UACGUAGGGGGCUAGCGUUGUCCGGAAUCAUUGGGCGUAAAGGGCGCGUAGGCGGCCAGAUAAGUCCGGGGUGAAAGUCAAAGGCUCAACCUUUGAAUGCCGCUGGAAACUGUCUGGCUAGAGUCCGGGAGGGGCGAGUGGAAUUCCUGGUGUAGCGGUGAAAUGCGCAGAGAUCGGGAGGAACACCAAUGGCGAAAGCAGGUACCUGGACCAUUACUGACACUCAGCUGCGAAAGCUAGGGGAGCAAACAGG
rnacentral:rRNA from 1 species